GACGAACGCUGGCGGCGUGCUUAACACAUGCAAGUCGAGCGGAAAGGCCCUUUCGGGGGUACUCGAGCGGCGAACGGGUGAGUAACACGUGAGUAAUCUGCCCCUGGCUUUGGGAUAGCCACCGGAAACGGUGAUUAAUACCGGAUACGACCACUUCCCGCAUGGGAUGGUGGUGGAAAGUUUUUCGGCCAGGGAUGUGCUCGCGGCCUAUCAGCUUGAUGGUGAGGUAAUGGCUCACCAUGGCUUCGACGGGUAGCCGGCCUGAGAGGGUGACCGGUCACACUGGGACUGAGACACGGCCCAGACUCCUACGGGAGGCAGCAGUGGGGAAUAUUGGACAAUGGGCGGAAGCCUGAUCCAGCAACGCCGCGUGAGGGAUGACGGCCUUCGGGUUGUAAACCUCUUUCAGCAGGGACGAAGCGCAAGUGACGGUACCUGCAGAGGAAGCACCGGCCAACUACGUGCCAGCCGCCGCAGUAA
rnacentral:rRNA from 1 species